GAGCACCUGCUGUCGGGCUAGCAGAAGGUGGAAGCCAGCACCAUCUUAAGGCCCGUUUUCUGUCCUCAUCGUGCUGUUUUCUCCCUUCCUGAUAAUACGAAAUGGGAUUUGCCAUAUACUUCUCUCUUAAAGGAUGCCCCUUCGAAGUAGAUGUUGCUUGUUGCAGACAGCAGUGAUGAAGAAACAAGUGAUCUCAUGCAAGUGAGGCAGACGCUGGCUGAAGGACAAAGACAAUGGCCGGCACAACAUGGGAUGUGUGAUGAAUUGUAAUGGACAACAGACUUCCUCUUCAAUACAGUUUUCAACAAAAUCAAUUCUUUUUGGAGCAAUGAGUGAAAUGAUGACACUUUGAAAUCCAUGGCUUGCCAAGUACUGUCAAGUGUAUUAUUACCGCAAGCCUAAUAUCUGAGCAUAUUCACCCCCAGGCAUCAACUAAUCUUUGCUUAAAUGUACCAUAGUCAAUUCUGGCUAUGCAAAACGGAAUGAAGAGACACAGGAAAUGGUCUCAGUAAAUUAAACUGAAUUGUCAUCCACACUUAGCCUCUGCCAUGGCAUCAUGAUUCAUAUUGUCAUGGCAACAAAUAUUUUAAAAAGAUCAAGCAUCAAACAGAUAUCCCUCUUUAUUUUGAUUAACCAAAUGACACUGUAGAAAAGAAAAGUGUGGAAUUUGAUACAAUUUUAAUUCCCACACUGGGUUUUUAUACUUUAUAUUCUUAGAGAUUUUUAUUUUUAUGAAGUAAAUAUCAGGAACUUCUACCAACAGUAAAACUCUUUAUUUUUAGGAAAUAUUGUAAUAGAAAAAAAACUGCUUAGAUUUAAAGAAACAAAAGUAAUCUUACCAAUUUCUCUGACCUCAGAAAAUUCACUACCUAUUAUGAACAACUUAAUUUUAGGUCAGAUAAUUAUAAUACAAUGCAUCCUCUAUAAUUUAUACACAAAUUUCUAAGAAAGCAGAUUAGGUCAUGUUGUUUAUCUUAUCUGCAAAGUUAGAGAGGCUCAAAUAAGACACAGACUUUUUAAACUAUUACUUUUCUAUGCACCUUAUAAUGAAUUUGAUAUCUGAUUUUACACUAUUUCAU